rnacentral:rRNA from 1 species
GGCGAACCGUCCUAACGUUGUUCGGAAUCACUGGGCGUAAAGGGCGCGUAGGCGGCUUUAUAAGUCGGGGGUGAAAGCCUGUGGCUCAACCACAGAAUUGCCUUCGAUACUGUAGAGCUUGAGACCGGAAGAGGUAAGUGGAACUGCGAGUGUAGAGGUGAAAUUCGUAGAUAUUCGGAAGAACACCAGUGGCGAAGGCGACUUACUGGACACAUAUUGACGCUGAGGUGCGAAAGCGUGGGGAGCAAACAGG